rnacentral:rRNA from 1 species
AGUGAACGCUGGCGGUAGGCCUAACACAUGCAAGUCGAACGGCAGCACAGUAAGAGCUUGCUCUUACGGGUGGCGAGUGGCGGACGCGUGAGGAAUACAUCGGAAUACACUUUUUCGUGGGGGAUAACGUAGGGAAACUUACGCUAAUACCGCAUACGACCUACUGGUGAAAGCAGGGGAUCUUCGGACCUUGCGCGAUUGAAUGAGCCGAUGUCGGAUUAGCUAGUUGGCGGGGUAAAGGCACACCAAGGCGACGAUCCGUAGCUGGUCUGAGAGGAUGAUCCGACACACUGGAACUGAGACACGGCACCGACUCCUACAGUAGGAAGCAGUGGGGAAUCCUAGAGGAUGCGGGAGAGCGUGAUACAGCCAUACCGCGUGGGUGAAGAAGGACUUAGGCUUGUAGAGCCCUUUUGUUGGGAAAGAAAAGCAGCACGUUAACACCCCGCUGUUCUGACGGUACCCAAAGAAUAAGCACCGGCUAACUUCGUG